rnacentral:rRNA from 1 species
GAUCAUGGCUCAGGAUGAACGCUGGCGGCGCGCCUAACACAUGCAAGUCGAACGGCACCCCUCUCCGGAGGGAAGCGAGUGGCGAACGGCUGAGUAACACGUGGAGAACCUGCCCCCCUCCCCCGGGAUAGCCGCCCGAAAGGACGGGUAAUACCGGAUACCCCCGGGCGCCGCAUGGCGCCCGGGCUAAAGCCCCGACGGGAGGGGAUGGCUCCGCGGCCCAUCAGGUAGACGGCGGGUGACGGCCCGACCCGUGCCGACCAACGGUAGCCGGGU